CUUUUGUAUUAAUUAAUGUGAAUGCUGUCACUUAUAGCUUAAAGUUUUGAAAUGUCAUUUUUAAUUUGAGUAUUGUCAUGUUAAUUGAGUAUUGUCUAUUUUUGAUAUCUAGUAUAAAUACUUAUUGUAAACUUUGUAAAUUUAGUUGAGAACGAGAGAAAUAGUAAGAUCCAUUAGAUACAGUAGGAGUCACAUUAUAUUGACGUUAUCCUUUGUAUAUGUUAUACUAGUAUUUGGCUUGGAAUUAAAUGUUAUAACUUGAAUGUGUUGGAUUUUCGUGAACUGCAGCAACUAGUUCCUGAGAUAUUGGUGACUUUCAUAGUGUAAUUGUUUUUCUAAUGAUUUUACAAAUAAAAUCAUGACCCCGUAACCACGCCCCUCGGUUACAUAGGGUAGAUAGGACAUAAAUGCUUUGUAAGAAACUUUUGAGACUAAUAAGUUACAUUAGAGCAAUAAUAAUGAACAAAGUAAAUUAAAUGAGUAAAUUAUAAGGUGAAGUUCAAAUUCCUUUUACUAAAUGGGCAAACAUUGAUUUGAAAAAUCCUUUUAUAUAAGUGAAUACUGAGCAGAGGUUAAAAAAAAAGCCAUACAAAAAAAAAAGGAAUGAUUGAAAAUAUAAGUAAAUAAAAAAAUAAAUAAAAUAAAUAAAUGUGUUGCGAACAAAGAAAAACAAGGUAGGGCAAAUAAUGUUACAGUAAUGGUCGUUGAUAAAAUAAUGAAAGUAAAAAGAUUCGUACAUGAAAAUAUGAAAUAGAACAUUAAAGAAUUUAAAAUGUAGUAUUAUUUGGAAGUUUAAGUUCAGGCGGUUAAUAUUCAUUAAACUGUAAAGGAUUAAAAGAAAUGCCUCUGUUUAGAUGAGAACCAUAAAAUAAUGCCUCAAAUUUUAACUUACAAAAGAUAAAAGUACAUAAAUUAAACAUCUGAUAGAAAAUUUGAAUAAAUGUGAAAGUUUGGCAUUGUGUGCUGCAGCGAUUAUUUUAAUUUUAAGUUGAUAUUGAUAUGUAAAUUUCCCUUUAAGAGAAAUAAAGGUUGUUUGAGUCGCAAGAAUUUUUGGGUAUUCAUAACACCCUUAAAAUUAGUGCUAAGUAUGGAUUCGCCAUCCAUAUAAAAACGUGACUUUUGCUAACAUAAAUAGUCUGUUAAAGAUUAAUUUUGAUAUAAAUUGAAAAACUUGAUAGGUAAUCAAAAUGUUGUAGAGUAUAAUUAUACACUUUGUUUAAAACUUGUCUAAAAUAAGUUCUUAUUUAAAAGCAGUGUAGUAGUAGUUGGGAAAAGGUAUUUAAGUCAUGUGCUUUGAGGGUAUGACUCACGAUAGAAUUUGGAGUCGGAGCAAACUACCAAAGAAAACGGGCAUACGCCGAAAAAUGGGUAUGACACCGAGGUAGAUUUGGAGUCCGAGCAAACUAUCAAGAAUGUGGGCUUAUCACCUAGUAAUCUGAUUAAAUACAUAGAGGAUAAAAACUGCUUAAAUAUGAAAAAUAAAAAUAAAUGUAGAACGACAUUAUGCCUGUUAAAUAAAUCAACACAGCUGAAAAGAAAAAAAAAUAGAAUCCAUCUUCAAAAUAAAAAGCUUUGAAAAAUCUUGUCCUUUGAAAAGCGUUUUAAAAUAUAAUUAGUUAGAUCGUGAUUUACUUAAAAGCUUUAAACAAUAAAAUGUAUGAAAAAUUGAUAAUGCUAAAUAAACUGAUAAAUAAAAUUGCGGGAGCAAUUGUUUUCGAACAACAGGGAUAUAUAAUGAUGGAAAAUUGCAUGUUGUAAAAAUAAAAUAAAAUAAAGUAAACUUAGAUAAAUAAACUAAUAAAUAAAUAAAAUUGAAUUAUAUUGCAUUGCUAAAGCUUCAAGACAAAGUAG
rnacentral:lncRNA from 1 species